rnacentral:lncRNA from 1 species
GGCUUCUCCCUUUUUAAAGGUCUCCAGCGUACCAGGAUUUGUGAAGGCCUGAAGUUCGUAGAAUGAAAUCUAUGUGGAGAUGAUUUAAAAGAACGGUUUCACUGCUAAAAUCCUUUCGAAAUGAGUUCCUUUAAGUUCUUCAGUAACUAAAUCCUCCAGAAAGGAAAGCCGAGAGAAUCUAGUCCUAUACAAUAACACCCUCUAACAAAGAUCGCUAAAGGAAGAUUUUAGUAGAUGAAUAUCUUCAAUAAUACAUGGUCACAUACAUGUAUCUGACCAUAUGAUGGCUCUCUGCACCAAAUUCCUCCAAACUAUUAUAAUAUGUAUUGUCUGUAGUGCUAUUUAUUUGGCAGUUAAUCAUGUAUUACAUUGUGACAUUUCUUACAGUGAACCAUUAUGUAUGUGUUUAUGUUCUGCCCUCAACUACUCAAUGCCAGUACCUUAUUCUUAACACAGCAACCACCCUUUCUGGUCUGUCCUCACACCCUCAUUCCCAUCAUAGUUAUUCUCCUCUCUCAUGGAAAUGUUCAGUUUCUGGACAUCUCCUUUCUCUUCCAUUCUUCACCUGACCUUCCUUCCUUUCUUGGCCAGCCUGAAUAUUAUAAAGGGAAUUUUAUUUCAAACCCAGGAUCGCACUUAAGAGGAAAAGAAACAAAAGCCAGUUCUUUUUAUUGCACAUAGAACAAGGAGAAACUCCACCCCUUUUGUUGUCUGGUAUGUUUAAAACAAGAAAGAACUUUAGAAAAGUAGGAUAU